CCACUGAUAAUGAGAAACAGGCCCCUUCUA
rnacentral:piRNA from 1 species